GGUUCUUCAGUCCCACUGAGGAUGUGAUGUGGAAGCUGCUGAAACAAUUCUCCCUCUUUGAGAGGAUAAAGUGCAAUGGGAAUAGGACUGCUCAGUGGAGAAUUCCAUGUGGCAGAAGGAUGGGCAGCAUGGAGAUUUCUGAGGUGGUUUGGAUGUCACUUCCAUCAAGUAGAAGGAAUGUUUUGCUAAAACUGUUUAUCAAAACUGAAACCUCAUGGAUUAUUUUGUUGAAAAAGUCAAAAAACAACCACUGUUUUUUUUCCCUAGGGCAGGGAUUUUGUGUUAGAGAAGAAAAUGAGAAAACAACCAGGCCCCAAAAGAGGGGAAAAGGGAAAACCUGAGAUUAGAGCAGAGAGAAGGCAUGGAAAUAUGUAAGAGAAAUUUGUUGAAGACCUAAUUGUAUCCAAAAUCCACGAUUGCUUUGAAAUCCAAGGAACUACUGUAACAUUAUUUGUUCAGAGGGGCUCUACAGUCAGAAAAUUCCCAUCACUUGUAUCCCACUUUCAGAAUUACAGUCUAUUCCAUUCUGAAAUCCCAAAAGACAGGUAAAACACCUGGAUUUAUGACACUUGGGAAUAUUGGAAUUGCACACAAGUAUCUGGGUUUUCCCAGGAAUGUUGUCCUGGGAUAUUUGAGUAACACAAGCUCUGGCAGAGGUGCUGGGGGUGUGAUGUGGGCACAGGAGCACUGUGAGUUCAUGAUGUCACCGCUCUUCCUGGACAUCCCUUGGCACUUUGGAGCUGGGUAAAUCCAGCCAGGAACCUGCCAGUGCCUUCAGCAGGGCUGGAAUUCCAUCCCAGAGUGUCAGGGGCUGGUGACAUGGAGUGAUGUCAGGUCACUGAUGUGGAACUGGAAAGAUUCCUUGUCACAUCACUGAUCCCAUCAGGUUGCCAAAUUUCACUUGGGAUUUUUUACCAAGUUUCCAUUGCAAAUGUAUGAUAACAUGUUUAGUCAUUAUCCUUAAAAAAAAGUAAAGAAAUAAUUUCUUUAAGAGAUGGGUGAUCUGUAGAAGACAUUUGUGUAAUUUUGCAUUCUAAAUGUGAUUUAUAUUUAUAAAUAAAUUUGCAUAAAAACUCCA
rnacentral:lncRNA from 1 species